GACGAACGCUGGCGGCGUGCUUAACACAUGCAAGUCGAACGGAAAGGCCCUGCUUUUGUGGGGUGCUCGAGUGGCGAACGGGUGAGUAACACGUCAGUAACCUGCCCUUGACUUUGGGAUAACUUCAGGAAACUGGGGCUAAUACCGGAUAGGAGCUCCUGCUGCAUGGUGGGGGUUGGAAAGUUUCGGCGGUUGGGGAUGGACUCGCGGCUUAUCAGCUUGUUGGUGGGGUAGUGGCUUACCAAGGCUUUGACGGGUAGCCGGCCUGAGAGGGUGACCGGCCACAUUGGGACUGAGAUACGGCCCAGACUCCUACGGGAGGCAGCAGUGGGGAAUUUUGCACAAUGGGCGGAAGCCUGAUGCAGCAACGCCGCGUGCGGGAUGACGGCCUUCGGGUUGUAAACCGCUUUCGCCUGUGACGAAGCGUGAGUGACGGUAAUGGGUAAAGAAGCACCGGCUAACUACGUG
rnacentral:rRNA from 1 species